CGGGGUGUGGCGCAGCUUGGUAGCGCGCGUCGUUCGGGACGACGAGGCCGCAGGUUCAAAUCCUGUCACCCCGA
rfam:Arthrobacter sp. Soil782 contig_1, whole genome shotgun sequence.